AAUGCUAUGGAAGUUGCCAGAAAAAGAAUCCUAAGGAAUUGGUUCUUGGCAAAUCCUAAGGAAUUUGGCUCAGGCAUUUGUCUUCCUAAUGAACUGGUGGGGAGGUAGCUGUGUUGGUACAUCAUCUCCAAGGCAGGAUUCUGCCCUCUGAAGCUUGAGUGGCUCCCAAAGUCUCAAGCCCACUGUGCUGAUUUGAGCAUUUGGCUCAGCCUUUUCUGGUCAUCACCAACGUUCACCUGGCCAUGCUGAUGGCAGCACGCAUGGAUCUGGCCAUUCCCACAGCCUGGUCACCCCAUGGUGGCCCUUGAUUGAGCUUGCCAUGGCACGGAAGGGGGCCUCUCCUACUCACCGAUCUCCUUAUUGAGAGAAAGAGUCUUGCUGUGUUGCCCAGGCUGGUCUCAAACUCCUGGGCUCAAGAAAUCCUCCUGCCUCAGCCUCCCAAAGUGUUGGGAUUACAGGUUUAUGAGCAGAAACCAUUGCUUAAGAGAUACUCACUAUCAAGCAGAAUCAUGAGGGACAGAGCACCAUGAACUCAGGGAGCAAAGAGAACACUGUGGGGGUAUUCUUAGGGAUGGAAUCUCCACAUCAAAUCCAUUGGCAAGACCUGGAUGUUCUUGGAAAUGUGAAACAUUGAAAAUGUUGAACAUUAAUCUUCUCCUCAUCUCCAGUAUCAACACCCAACUGAGGCCACCAUCAUUUAUUGGGUUUGGGUGGACAAUUGCAACAGCCACCUAUGACUGCUGUGACUUUCUCUACGACUCCAGUUAAUCCAUCCUCCACUCCACCGCCUGAAUGAUCUCUUCAAAAUUCACAGUAGGUAAUGACACCCCAGUGGAAAAUGCUGAUUGCCUUCUACUUAGAAUGAACCCCAAAUUCUUUACUGUGGCCUAUAAAACCCUCAGUGCAAUCCUCUCUGGAUGAGCUCAUCAUUUUUAAGUCUCAGGUUAAAUUAGCGGUUCUCAAAAGGGAGCAGUGUUGCCCUUUAAGAGACAUUUGGCAAUGUUGGGAGAUAUUUUUGGUUGUCAUAAGUGGAAGUCAGGGGGUGCUACUGGCAUCCAGCGGUCAGAGGCCAGGGAUGCUGUUGAACAUUCUGCAAUGCACAGAAUAGUCCCCUAUAGCAAAGAAUUGUCUGACCCAAAAUAUCAGAAGUGCCAAAGUUAAGAAAUCCUGACUUAAAAUCACUUUCCUGUAGUGACUUUAUCUGACCAUCUUUAUCUCAAAUUGGUUCCCAUCCCCUAUGCUCUUCAUACCUCUAACCACAAUUUGCAAUUCCCUUCUUAUUGUCAUUUACAUACAUGUAAGCUCCACAUACCGGGCUAUGGACAAAGUAUGUCUUGUCCAACUUUGUUGUCUCAACAUGUACCACUUAGCAGAUGCUCAAUAAAUAUUUGUAGGAAGAAGAAGGGCAGGAAGGGGGAAGGGCAAGAAGAAAAGGCAGUCAAGGUGAAGCAGCACCCCUGCCCUUCUGAGCCCCUUUCAGUAUCAUGCUGACUCUCAUCUUCGUGUGGAAAACCUGCCAUUCGACUUGGCCAGUUGCACUGAUUAUGUUUUACCGGAGAAUGAGCCGAGUGGACUAGGAAAACACUUUAAAUCUCAGUUGUGGGGCAGGGUAGGGGGUGGGGGCAUUGGCAUGAAAGUGUUUAGAUUUCUUCAGUAUUGACUUUGUUUUGUCAAACAAGUCUUCUUGAGGGUAGGGACCAUGUCUAUUUCAGUCUCCGCUGUAGCUCCAGCACCUUGCAUAGUGCGUAGUGCAGACAUAGUGGGUUUCCCAAAAGUGUUUGUGAAUAUGUGAGUACCCCCCCAGCCUGCAGGGGAGGGAGGGUUGAUACCCCACUGCACCCACUUCUUCAGCAGCUCAUAAACCCACUUAUGAAGCCAGCCUUCAGGUCAGACUCUUGCUUUUCUUCU